rnacentral:rRNA from 1 species
GAUGAACGCUGGCGGCGUGCCUAAUACAUGCAAGUCGAACGCACAGCGAAAGGUGCUUGCACCUUUCAAGUGAGUGGCGAACGGGUGAGUAACACGUGGACAACCUGCCUCAAGGCUGGGGAUAACAUUUGGAAACAGAUGCUAAUACCGAAUAAAACUCAGUGUCGCAUGACACAAAGUUAAAAGGCGCUUUGGCGUCACCUAGAGAUGGAUCCGCGGUGCAUUAGUUAGUUGGUGGGGUAAAGGCCUACCAAGACAAUGAUGCAUAGCCGAGUUGAGAGCCUAGUCGGCCACAUGGGGACUGAGACACGGCCCAAACUCCUACGGGAGGCUGCAGUAGGGAAUCUUCCACAAUGGGCGAAAGCCUGAUGGAGCAACGCCGCGUGUGUGAUGAAGGCUUUCGGGUCGUAAAGCACUGUUGUAUGGGAAGAACAGCUAGAAUAGGGAAUGAUUUUAGUUUGACGGUACCAUACCAGAAAGGGACGGCUGAAUACGUGCCAGCAGCCGCCGUAA